CUUUCACUCUGGCGGCAGGCCUAACACAUGCCAGUCGAGCGGAUGAAGGGAGCUUGCUCCUGGAUUCAGCGGCGGACGGGUGAGUAAUGCCUAGGAAUCUGCCUGGUAGUGGGGGAUAACGUCCGGAAACGGGCGCUAAUACCGCAUACGUCCUGAGGGAGAAAGUGGGGGAUCUUCGGACCUCACGCUAUCAGAUGAGCCUAGGUCGGAUUAGCUAGUUGGUGGGGUAAAGGCCUACCAAGGCGACGAUCCGUAACUGGUCUGAGAGGAUGAUCAGUCACACUGGAACUGAGACACGGUCCAGACUCCUACGGGAGGCAGCAGUGGGGAAUAUUGGACAAUGGGCGAAAGCCUGAUCCAGCCAUGCCGCGUGUGUGAAGAAGGUCUUCGGAUUGUAAAGCACUUUAAGUUGGGAGGAAGGGCAGUAAGUUAAUACCUUGCUGUUUUGACGUUACCAACAGAAUAAGCACCGGCUAACUUCGUG
rnacentral:rRNA from 1 species